CUACGGGGUGCAGCAGUGAGGAAUUUUGCGCAAUGGGGGCAACCCUGACGCAGCAACGCCGCGUGAGUGAAGAAGGCCCUUGGGUCGUAAAGCUCUGUCAACAGGGAAGAAGUUACUUCAUAUUAAUAGUAUGUAGUAUUGACGGUACCUGUGGAGGAAGCAUCGGCUAACUCCGUGCCAGCAGCCGCGGUAAUACGGGGGAUGCAAGCGUUAUUCGGAAUCAUUGGGCGUAAAGGGCACGCAGGCGGCUCUGUCAGUCAGAUGUGAAAGCCCGGGGCUCAACCCCGGACGUGCAUUUGAAACAGCAGAGCUUGAGUACGGUAGAGGAAAGCGGAAUUCCUGGUGUAGAGGUGAAAUUCGUAGAUAUCAGGAGGAACACCGGUGGCGAAGGCGGCUUUCUGGACCGAAACUGACGCUGAGGUGCGAAGGCGUGGGUAGCGAACAGGAUUAGAUACCCGGGUAGUC
rnacentral:rRNA from 1 species